CCUACGGGAGGCAGCAGUAAGAAUAUUCCGCAAUGGACGAAAGUCUGACGGAGCGACGCCGCGUGGAUGAUGAAGGCCGAAAGGUUGUAAAGUCCUUUUGCUGGGGAAGAAUAAGUGUGGGAGGGAAUGCCCGCAUGAUGACAUGAACCGGCGAAUAAGCCCCGGCCAACUACGUGCCAGCAGCCGCGGUAAAUUA
rnacentral:rRNA from 1 species